rnacentral:rRNA from 1 species
GACGAACGCUGGCGGCGUGCUUAACACAUGCAAGUCGAACGGUGAAGCGCCUUCCUUUUUGGUGGGUGUGGAUGAGUGGCGAACGGGUGAGUAACACGUGAGUAACCUGCCCCCUUCUUCUGGAUAACCGCAUGAAAGUGUGGCUAAUACGGGAUAUUCUGGGUCUGUCGCAUGAUGGGUCUGGGAAAGAUAUUGUUUCGGUGGGGGAUGGGCUCGCGGCCUAUCAGCUUGUUGGUGGGGUGAUGGCCUACCAAGGCGGUGACGGGUAGCCGGCCUGAGAGGGUGGACGGUCACACUGGGACUGAGACACGGCCCAGGCUCCUACGGGAGGCAGCAGUGGGGAAUAUUGCACAAUGGGCGCAAGCCUGAUGCAGCGACGCCGCGUGAGGGAUGGAGGCCUGCGGGUUGUGAACCUCUUUCGCCAGUGAAGCAGGCCUGCCUCGUUUGUGGGUGGGUUGACGGUAGCUGGAUAAGAAGCGCCGGCUAACUACGUG